GAUGAAGAACGUAGCGAAAUGCGAUAAGUAGUGUGAAUUGCAGAAUUCAGUGAAUCAUCGAAUCUUUGAACGCACAUUGCGCCCUUUGGUAUUCCAAAGGGCAUGCCUGUUCGAGCGUCAUUUGUACCCUCAAGCUUUGCUUGGUGUUGAGCGUCUUGUCUCUAGCUUUGCUGGAGACUCGCCUUAAAGUAAUUGGCAGCCGGCCUACUGGUUUCGGAGCGCAGCACAAGUCGCACUCUCUAUCAGCAAAGGUCUAGCAUCCAUUAAGCCUUUUUUUUCAACUUUUGACCUCGGAUCAGGUAGGGAUACCCGCUGAACUUAAGCAUAUCAAAAGCGAGGA
rnacentral:misc_RNA from 1 species